UUUGUAGUUAGAUGUUCAAAAUCCAGCUCCUAAAAAAAAUUGCCAUCUAAUCCUCAAGAUUCUUGAAGUCCACAAAUAUUCAUUUUUCCAAUGUAAAAAAAUUGCCUGGAUGCUUGAAGUUUUACCCUGGAUGAUAUGUCAUCUGAAAAAACCUCAGCAAUUAUUUCGCAUUAAGCCAUGUAAUGCUCUGUAAAGUGGUGUUUCCCAGCCUGGGACUCAACCUGAGAUCUCUAUUAGGUGUGCCUGCCUGGACCUGAGUGCUGCUGUUGCAGGGGUACCAGGGGUCUCCACUGCCUGUAUGCCUGCCUGGCCAGAUCCUGGAGAGAGCAAUGGGGACCAGAGGGACCACAAGGUACAAAACCAACUUAUAACUGGAGAUACCAAAGGAUGCAUUUGAAAACUAUACCCAACCCUCGGUAAGUGCGAGGAUGAUAUGCAUCCUCUCAGCGUAUGAAUUAUUUAUUUACAAUAUUGAUGCUUGAGAAAAUUAGAAAUCGGUACCCAUCAGAAGUGCAUAUAUGACAUAGUGUGAUAAAUGAGUGUUCUAAAGUGCUUUGCUUUCAUAAAGAAUUCUUAUAAAUCUUAAUGAAAUAUCG
rnacentral:lncRNA from 1 species